AACGAACGCUGGCGGCAUGCCUAAUACAUGCAAGUCGAACGAGCCGUUCGGGUGCAGUGUCGCACGGCUGCGUAACGCGUGGGAACCUUCCCUUAUGUUUGGAAUAACUCUCCGACAGGGGUGCUAAUACCGGAUAAUGUCUUCUGCCCAAAGAUAUAUUGCGUUUGGAUGGGCGCUCGUUGGAUUAGCUAGUUCUUAGGGUAAAAGCAUAAGAAGGCGAGGAUGCAUAAAUGGUAUGAGAGGAAGAUCAGCCACACUGGGACUGAGACACGGCCGAGAAUCCUACGGGAGGGAGCAGAGGGUGACAGUGGAAAGUGGGCGGAAGCAUGAUCCAGCAAGGCCGCGUGAGUGAUGAAGGCAGUAGAGUUGUAAUGCGCAUUUACCCGGGAUGAUCAUGACAGUACCGGGAGAAAAAGCUACGGCUAACUCCGUG
rnacentral:rRNA from 1 species